GGUUACUGCUAUCGAGGUUCGACUAAGCCAUGCGAGUCGAAUGUAGCAAUACAUGGCGAACUGCUCAGUAACACGUGGACAACCUGCCCUUAGGUUGGGUAUAAACCCGGGAAACUGGGUAUAAUACCCGAUAGGUCUCGAUUGCUGGAAUGCAUCGAGAUUUAAAGCUCCGGCGCCUAAGGAUGGGUCUGCGGCCUAUCAGGUAGUAGUGGGUGUAGCGUACCUACUAGCCUACGACGGGUACGGGUUGUGAGAGCAAGAGCCCGGAGAUGGAUUCUGAGACACGAAUCCAGGCCCUACGGGGUGCAGCAGGCGCGAAAACUUUACAAUGCUGGCAACAGCGAUAAGGGAACCUCGAGUGCCAGGUUACAAAUCUGGCUGUCGAGAUGCCUAAAAAGCAUUUCAUAGCAAGGGCCGGGCAAGACCGGUGCCAGCCGCCGCGGUAACACCGGCGGCUCGAGUGGUAACCGUUAUUAUUGGGUCUAAAGGGUCUGUAGCCGGCCGGAUAAGUCUCUUGAGAAAUCUGGCAGCUUAACUGUCAGGCUUUCAGGAGAUACUGUCUGGCUCGAGGCCGGGAGAGGUGAGAGGUACUUCAGGGGUAGGGGUGAAAUCUUGUAAUCCUUGAAGGACCACCAGUGGCGAAGGCGUCUCACCAGAACGGACCUGACGGCAAGGGACGAAAGCUAGG
rnacentral:rRNA from 1 species